GCAUCGGUGGCUUAGUGGUAGAAUGCUCGCCUGCCACGCGGGCGUCCCGGGUUCGAUUCCCGGCCGAUGCA
rnacentral:tRNA from 1 species